rfam:Brassica oleracea var. oleracea cultivar TO1000 chromosome C4, whole genome shotgun sequence
GCUUUAAUAGCUCAGUUGGUUAGAGCACCCGUUUAGUAAGUGGGAGGUCGUGAAUUUAACUUACAAUGAAAUCA